rnacentral:rRNA from 1 species
UACAGAGGGGGCAAGCGUUGUUCGGAAUUACUGGGCGUAAAGGGCUCGUAGGUGGUCAACUAAGUCGGACGUGAAAUCCCUCGGCUUAACCGGGGAACUGCAUCCGAAACUGCCUUGCUAGAGUAUGGGAGAGGGAAGUGGAAUUUCCGGUGUAGCGGUGAAAUGCGUAGAUAUCGGAAGGAACAUCAGUGGCGAAGGCGACUUCCUGGACCAAUACUGACGCUCAGGUGCGAAAGCGUGGGGAGCAAACAGG